rnacentral:sRNA from 1 species
AACAUGGAGAGUCAGUGUUAGUACUCGAUAAAUGCACCAACCUCUCAGAGGGUGUCCUUUCUGUCCGUAAGCGCUGCCACAAGCACCAGGUCUUCGAUUACCCACAGGUGCUACAGGAGGCUACUUUCUGUGUGGUCCUUCGUGGAGCUCGGCUGGGCCAGGCAGUAUUAAGCGAUGUGUUACAAGCUGGCUGUGUCCCGGUUGUCAUUGCAGACUCCUAUAUUUUGCCUUUCUCUGAAGUUCUUGACUGGAAGAGAGCAUCUGUGGUUGUACCAGAAGAAAAGAUGUCAGAUGUGUACAGUAUUUUGCAGAGCAUCCCCCAAAGACAGAUUGAAGAAAUGCAGAGACAGGCCCGGUGGUUCUGGGAAGCGUACUUCCAGUCAAUUAAAGCCAUUGCCCUGGCCACCCUGCAGAUUAUCAAUGACCGGAUCUAUCCAUAUGCUGCCAUCUCCUAUGAAGAAUGGAAUGACCCUCCUGUUGUGAUUCUCUCUGGCCCAAAAUCCGGGUUCCAUUAAAAGUUGUGAGGACUGCUGAAAACAAGUUAAGUAACCGUUUCUUCCCUUAUGAUGAAAUCGAGACAGAAGCUGUUCUGGCCAUUGAUGAUGAUAUCAUUAUGCUGACCUCUGAUGAGCUGCAAUUUGGUUAUGAGGUCUGGCGGGAAUUUCCUGACCGGUUGGUGGGUUACCCGGGUCGUCUGCAUCUCUGGGACCAUGAGAUGAAUAAGUGGAAGUACGAGUCUGAGUGGAC